rnacentral:rRNA from 1 species
GAUGAACGCUGGCGGCGUGCUUAACACAUGCAAGUCGAACGGUGAAGCAGAGCUUGCUCUGUGGAUCAGUGGCGAACGGGUGAGUAACACGUGAGCAACCUGCCCCUGACUCUGGGAUAAGCGCUGGAAACGGCGUCUAAUACUGGAUAUGAGCUGCGACCGCAUGGUCAGCAGUUGGAAAGAUUUUUCGGUCUGGGAUGGGCUCACGGCCUAUCAGCUUGUUGGUGAGGUAAUGGCUCACCAAGGCGUCGACGGGUAGCCGGCCUGAGAGGGUGACCGGCCACACUGGGACUGAGACACGGCCCAGACUCCUACGGGAGGCAGCAGUGGGGAAUAUUGCACAAUGGGCGAAAGCCUGAUGCAGCAACGCCGCGUGAGGGAUGACUGCCUUCGGGUUGUAAACCUCUUUUAGCAGGGAAGAAGCGAAAGUGACGGUACCUGCAGAAAAAGCGCCGGCUAACUACGUG